GGCACGGUAUAUUAUAGCUGCACCAACUAACAGUAUAACAAAGACGCCUGAUGUCGCAAGCGUUGGCGGUUUGCGUUUGGGAAAGUGUGGCCACGGUCCAUGCGAAGAGCAAUACGAUUCAAAUCCAUUCGCAUUGAAACACGGUUCAUGUUUAUUCGCAUUGAAACGCGGUUCAUGUUUAUUCGCAUUGAAACGCGGUUCAUGUUCAUUUGCAUUGAAACGCGGUUCAUGUUCAUUCGCAUUGAAACGCGGUUCAUGUUCAUUUGCAUUGAAACGCGGUUCAUGUUCAUUCGCCUUGAAACGCGGUUCAUGUUCAUUCGCAUUGGAACGCGGUUUAUGUUCAUUCGCAUUGAAACGCGGUUCAUGGCAAUGGCCUGUUCUGUUGAACUCUUUCAUUGCAUCUUCGAAGGCCUUUUGGAGAUAUUGAAAAGCUAGUGUGGAUUCUGGUGCUUUAUUCUUAUCGGGAUGCAAUAGCCGUGCCAUUUUAUGAUAAGCCUUUUUAAUGACAGAAUCUGUGGCAUUUUUGCUAAUUCUGAGAAUUUUAUAACAAUCUUUACAAUUCAAAACAUAUUGCACUAAAUCUAGCUGAUCUUGGGUGUAGUCAACACCCAACUUUGGUUUCUUCACUUUUUCUUUUCGGUCCGAAGCACUUUUGAUAAGUCGAAGCAAAUCUUCGGCUUCCUUCAACGGGUACAACUUGAUAGAUUUUUCCGCUAACUUUUGAGCCUUUUCCAUAUUGCCUUCAUUGAAGGCACUCCUUGCUAGUUCGAAGCAACGGCGUGCUUCAUCCUUAUUGAUUGGAUUAUAGUCAACGUUCUCCUUUGACUUAUUUUUUUCGUUUGUCGUAUUUUUCUGAUUUCUAGAAAAUUUCUCACUGGAACGCGGCGACGAGCCACGGGCACUUUUGAUACUUUUUAGUAAAUCUUCGGCUUCCUUCAACGGGCACAACUUGAUAGAUUUUUCCGCUAACUUUUGAGCCUUUUCCAUAUUGCCUUCAUUGAAGGCUCUCCUUGCCCGUUCGAAGCAACGGCGUGCUUCAUCCUUGUUAAUUUGGGCAUAAUCAACGUUCACAUUAGGCUCAUUAUUGUUUUUUUGUUUUGUUGAAUUUGUCUGAUUUCUGGUAAAUUUUUCAUAGCUAUGGGUACUUUUGAUACUUUUUAGUAAAUCUUCGGCUUCCUUCAACGGGCACAACUUGAUAGAUUUUUCCGCUAACUUUUGAGCCUUUUCCAUAUUGCCUUCAUUGAAGGCACUCCUUGCUAGUUCGAAGCAACGGCGUGCUUCAUCCUUGUUAAUUUGGGCAUAAUCAACGUUCACAUUAGGCUCGUUAUUGUUUUUUUGUUUUGUUGAAUUUGUCUGAUUUCUGGUAAAUUUUUCAUAGCCAUGGGUACUUUUGAUACUUUUUAGUAAAUCUUCAGCCUCCUUCAACGGGUACAUCUUGAUGGAUUCUUCUGCUAAACUUUUAGCCUUUUCCAUAUUGCCUUCAUUGAAGGCACUCCUUGCUAGUUCGAAGCAACGGCGUGCUUCAUCCUUAUUGAUUCGAUUAUAGUCAACGUUCGCCUUUGACUUAUUUUUUUCGUUUGUCGUAUUUUUCUGAUUUCUAGAAAAUUUCUCACUGGAACGCGGCGACGAGCCACGGGCACUUUUGAUACUUUUUAGUAAAUCUUCGGCUUCCUUGAUAGAUUUUUCCGCUAACUUUUGAGCCUUUUCCAUAUUGCCUUCAUUGAAGGCACUCCUUGCUAGUUCGAAGCAACGGCGUGCUUCAUCCUUGUUAAUUUGGGCAUAAUCAACGUUCACAUUAGGCUCAUUAUUGUUUUUUUGUUUUGUUGAAUUUGUCUGAUUUCUGGUAAAUUUUUCAUAGCCAUGGGUACUUUUGAUACCUUUUAGUAAAUCUUCAGCCUUCUGACACAACCUGAUAGAUUUCUCUAUUAACUUUUGAGCCUUUUCAAUAUUACCUUCAUUGAAGGCACUCCUUGCUAGUUCAGAGCAACGGCGUGCUUCAUCCAUGUUAAAUUGUUCAUAAUCAACGUUCAUAUUUGGCCCAUUAUUGCUUUUUUGUUUUGUCGUAUUUUUCUGAUUUCUAGUAAAUUUUUCACCGGAACGUGACGACAAGCCAUGGGUACUUUUGAUACUUUUUAGUAAAUCUUCAGCCUCCUUCAACGGGCACAACUCGAUAGACUUUUCCGCUAACUUUUGAGCCUUUUCCAUAUCGCCUUCACUGAAGGCACUCCUAGCCAGUUCGAUGCAACGCCGUGCUUCAUCCUUGUUAACGUGAGUCAAGUCAACAUAUUCGUCGACACGCGGCGACGAGCUCGUUGUAUGUUUGAUAAGUCGUAGCAAAUCUUUGGCUUCUUUGAAGUACCACACCUUCAUGGACUUUACCGCCAAAUUUUUAGCCUUUUGUAUGUUUCCUUCAUCCAAAGCAACCCUUGCAAGGCAAAUGUAUUGUCGUGCUUCAUCCUUCUUAGCUUUACGACAGUCAACAUUAACCUUCGGUUGUUCGCAGUUUUCUCUGUUUUGCGUCGUUUUCUGAGUUUUGACAAAAUUCUCGUUAGUAUGCCCAGACGAGUUGUUUCCUUGAUUGUUCGUAGUUUUCUGAUUCCCAGCAAACUCCCGGUAAACUUGAUUAUAGGAAAUUGAGAAUUCAUAACCAAGCCUUUUCUCGCCGGACCCCUGCCGGUGACUGGACUUCCUUUUAUUUUCCAUCGCCUAGCUUCGCAGAAUAUAAACGUAUCCGUUCGAUGGAUAAUCACAUACCUGAAAUAAAACGGUCGAAUCUAUUAAUUAAACUUCCAUUUAUCCCAGUAAUAAACAUUUUAUCACGGAUAAAAAACUCUAUAGGUUGUUAUCAAAAUUCGUAUGGUUGGCUCAUCUAUAUCACAUAUUUUUGGUUGAACGCAUAAUAUUACAUAAUCAACAUCGAUAACUACAAACAAACUAGUGUUUAUGUAAAGUUGAUUUGGCUGUAGAGGAUUUCUCAACCGCAUAUCGCUAAAAUAAUUUAACAGCUAGUAGAUUUGGCUAUAUUUUCCUAGUCUACAUUAUAAUAUCUGAUAGUUAUUUUUUAAAUAUUACUGAUGCUUGAAUAGACCUUGAAUUUCGUAUGAACAAGCAAGUAAAUUGUCUGGCUUAGAGGAAAAAAAGCCAGUAUUUAUUUCUCGUGGAAAAAAUCAACCAACACGAAGCGGGAAGAUACAUAUAGAGAUGUUUGGGUGCAUUUUGACCCCCGAGGGCCUAUCCGGAAGGUGGAAUAAUAAAAUGCGAUGAACAAGAUCAUAUCACGGCGCAGGCAGUUCAACUUCCACCGAAAAAAAUAAUAACAGCAUUUUGUUUCAGGGCCAUGGCGCUGGCUCCCCCAGCAGAAGCAAAAAAACUAAAUCGUAUAAAUAAUUAAAAUUAAAAAAAAAAUAAAAAUGUUUCAUUUAAAAAAGAAAAACAAUGCAUUUAUCUGUUCCAAUCAAUUUCAUAAAUAUUUUGAAUCAACGAUUUCCCACGUUCACGGGGAGCAGCAUUUACAGUAGAAACAACCAUACGAAUGAUUAAAUAAAAAUUCCUGUUGGAUUCUUAGCAUCGAUGCGAUCGCUUAAUCAGCCAUUUAUCCUUUCGUGGCAAAGUAUCAUCUGAUUGUUGGCUUGAAUGUAUUUUCGGGUCAGAACCAAACAACCAUAUUCAUGUUCAUGCAGACGCGUAAAAUAACUGAUAAAUCUAUAUAUUUUUCUCCGUGAUAGUAAACGUUCUAUGCUUAAAAUGUCAAGUUUUCUUAAAAUUCCCUUAACGGCAUAUGAAUUUUACCCAGUUCGGUAACAGGCGUCAAAUCUAUAAUAACUGGACCGGAAAUAAAAAAUGAAAUAUUUUUUAUUUCUGGCUAUCAUAAGCAUAAUUAAGUGAUAUAUUUUCAGUGAAAUGGUCGAACAAUUAUGCCGAGACUGAAGAAUAUACGUCAUAUUUUUGGGGAAACCAUUCUAGUUUUUUUUUUCUAAAUGCACAUUAAAUGUUGAUUUUGGGCGAUAAAUGGUGUAUAUUUUAGGGCUGAAUUGUAUAAAGGUUGACCGAGGUAUUUCAAACGUUUCGCAAGUGCAGGUACUUACCGUAUAUAUAAUCCAGUUAAUUUUUUAUCACUUUUAUCGAAGAUUAUCCCUACAUUUGAGGAAAUUUCAGCUUAAUACAUCCGGCACACAGCACAAUAUUACCAGAAAAGUGAAAUACGAAACGUAAUUAUGUGUAUUUCUGCCACCUUUUUUCUCUCUCGUUCUCACAUA